GUACACUCCUGCGGGAGGCAGCAGUGGGGAAUAUUGGACAAUGGGCGCAAGCCUGAUCCAGCCAUGCCGCGUGAGUGAUGAAGGCCUAGGGUUGUAAAGCUCUUUCACCGGUGAAGAUAAUGACGGUAACCGGAGAAGAAGCCCCGGCUAACUUCGUGCCAGCAGCCGCGGUAAUACGAAGGGGGCUAGCGUUGUUCGGAUUUACUGGGCGUAAAGCGCACGUAGGCGGACUAUUAAGUCAGGGGUGAAAUCCCGGGGCUCAACCCCGGAACUGCCUUUGAUACUGGUAGUCUUGAGUUCGAGAGAGGUGAGUGGAAUUCCGAGUGUAGAGGUGAAAUUCGUAGAUAUUCGGAGGAACACCAGUGGCGAAGGCGGCUCACUGGCUCGAUACUGACGCUGAGGUGCGAAAGCGUGGGGAGCAAACAGGAUUAGAAACCCGAGUAGUCCCA
rnacentral:rRNA from 1 species